rnacentral:rRNA from 1 species
AGUGAACGCUGGCGGUAGGCCUAACACAUGCAAGUCGAACGGCAGCACAGUAAGAGCUUGCUCUUACGGGUGGCGAGUGGCGGACGGGUGAGGAAUACAUCGGAAUCUACUUUUUCGUGGGGGAUAACGUAGGGAAACUUACGCUAAUACCGCAUACGACCUACGGGUGAAAGCAGGGGAUCUUCGGACCUUGCGCGAUUGAAUGAGCCGAUGUGGGAUUAGCUAGUUGGCGGGGUAAAGGCCCACCAAGUCGACGAUCCGUAGCUGGUCUGAGAGAAUGAUCAGCCACACUGGAACGGGGACAGGGUCCAGGCGCCUACGGGAGGCAGCAGUGGGGAAUAUUGGACAAUGGGCGCAAGCCUGAUCCAGCCAUACCGCGUGGGUGAAGAAGGCCUUCGGGUUGUAAAGCCCUUUUGUUGGGAAAGAAAAGCAGCAGGUUAAUACCCCGCUGUUCUGACGGUACCCAAAGAAUAAGCACCGGCUAACUUCGUG